UACAGAGGGGGCAAGCGUUAUUCGGAAUUAUUGGGCGUAAAGGGCGCGUAGGCGGCCUGGCAAGUGGAAGGUGAAAUCCCUCGGCUUAACCGAGGAACUGCCCUCCAAACUGCUUGGCUUGAGACCGGGAGAGGUGAGUGGAAUUCCCAGUGUAGCGGUGAAAUGCGUAGAUAUUGGGAGGAACACCAGUGGCGAAGGCGGCUCACUGGACCGGAACUGACGCUGAUGCGCGAAAGCGUGGGGAGCAAACGGGG
rnacentral:rRNA from 1 species